UUUUAAUUUCUAGAAAAGUUGGGAUGGUGUUAAAGAUCUUCAAGCAAGUCAGAAGUUCUGCUUUUGACUCACUUCCAUACAUGCAUUGAGAGGCCCCCUAAACUAAAUUUGUAGGCACUAAGCAGCAGAUAUCUCCAGCAAAUCUGCAAUUUCUUUCAUAUCCAUCCAUUUUGUAAUUCUGCUGCUUUACAGGAGCAGGAAUCCAGUGGAGGCUGCACCCCUGCUCAUUAAUGCUUGUCUGCCUCCUUCAGCACUCUGGUUGGGAUUUCUUGGGGGGAGUUUCAAAAGGAUUCUUCUCUCAUAUGGCUGAUAUCACAGGAUAACGUUUAUUUUUCCUGUCCUGAUUUUCUUGUACUAACAGAUGGAUUGUUCCUGAGCAAACAAAUGCAUUACUUCUGAACAUGUUUUAACAUUGCUUUAGACUAACAAAUCUCUCUCUCUUUUUUUUUUUUUUUUUUGAACAUUUCAUUUUGAGUAAUCGAAGAUCAGAAUUAGAAUAAUAAUAAGUGAUGAAAUGAGUGAGGAUUUGUUUAUGAACUUUGUCUUUUUUUUUUUCCUACAGUUUUGUCCCAUUAUUACUGUUACUAUAUUUAUUUUGUCCAAAGUGCAACCAUCUCAGCAUCUGUCAUUGUAUCUGUUAGAAAUACACAGGCAAGGAGAGCUCACAGUAGUAAAUUAUGGUUCAUCCAACCACUUAAUUCUUAUGAUUGCUGGCUUUCACCAAAAAUAAAAAAAAAAAAAAAAGACUGAAAUUCAGUGCAGUUGGCCACACUACACAGCCUCUCACAGCCUCUGAGUGCAGCGGUGGCAUUAGAGCAGGGCAUGAGUGCUGAGGCCACCUGGGAGCAGAGGCUGUGUGCCAGCACUUCAUGGCUGCUUCUGUGGCUUUGGAUUUUUCUGAUGUUUACAUGAGUCCCCACAGCACAAGAGAAGUUAAGCACCUGAUAAGCACCACAGCUCUUCCAUGGCACAGCGGCUAGAGGAUGCAGGGAUCUUGGGCAUGUUCAGCCAGGAGCGAAGUCCUGCUGCCCUCCAGUUCCUGAGCCAGAAGGUUGGAACGGAUCUUUAAAGAUUAUCUAGUUGAGAAUGAUGUGGCAAUGCUCAUCAAUCUGAACCACUUGCAUCAGUCCUCACAGAAACUCCAAGCACUGCUUUUCCCCCCUCUGAAAGCAGCUUUUGCUGCCACCUUUGCUGACUCCCAGCUCAAAAAUCCCUCCAAACUGCUGAAGUGCAACUCACUUCCCUGCCAACAGAGCACAAAAGUGGAGCCUGGACUGACCUUCAGGUAUCUGUGAGAGGAAAGCCCAGAUUCUGAUUUCUCGAAGAAGGAUCAGGGACUGAGCUGAGAGAGGAGAGAUUUGAGUUCAAGCAACUUGGGAUCUGCAGUAGCAUCAUCACUGUUUCCUUGGGCUGGUUUCCCCUGCUGAGCUGUGCAUCACUACACAGGCUGGAUGAUGUCAGUGCUGCCCAAGCAAGCUUCAAUUUGGCUGCUGAAUAAAGGGGAGAGUUGUCGUCACCACACAGACAGAAAACCAAAGAAAGCCUGUGUCUUCUAGCUAAAAAGCCAGCUUAAGUGAAGGCGUAAGCAUCUUUUUGAGGUACUGUGGAGACAACAGCACACAGGCAUCUUGGUGUUGUCUGUCCAUUGGCAGCACUGGCUCAUGAGGCAGUUCCCCAUCCCCAGAUCUGUGUGAGACACCUCAGCCUGCUGCUCAUCUGUGGGAUUUUGGUUCAUGGACUUUUGCUAUUCUCCUGCACAUCCAUGAGCAAUGCCACUCUCUCACACCUGCAUCUCAGGUCAGUUUAAAAACAGCUGCUGUUUGAUGGCACACACUAAAUGAAUUACUGUCCUCAGUUACGAGGCUGUCCUCCAGCCUACAAGUCUGGAGAAUGAGACCUUUGCUGGUGCCAUGCAGGAGGCCAAGAGCUGGCAGAAGCACAGGCAAAGGAAAAGUCCCACUGGGUCAAGGGAAGGGGCAUGGCAGACUAAUGAACUCCAUUACUGCAAGGAGAACUUUGUUCAACUUCUCAUGCCAGAAAGGACUGCCCAGGCUGGCAGGUAAAUCUCCCCGAAGAUAGAGGAAAUAGGGGGUUAGAGCACCAUAUUUAUCUCCAGCUACUUAGCAGAUAGUGAGAUGCUGCAAAACAGAAUUGAGUUUCAGCAGAAGGAAGGUGUUACUGAAUAGUAACAAUGGCACAACAACGCUUUGCUCUGCCUCCCUUGGCAGCAACCUGCUCUUAGGUGGAAGACUGCUCUUCAGCAUUUGGCUCAGGUCAGACAGGUGUUUGCGUGUCAUAUGCAGCAUCGUGCACUGAAAAGCUUGAUGUGUGAGGAGAAUGGAGAUCGAGCACAUCCACAGAAGCGGCGGCUGGUUGGGCUUGCAAGCACACUGAGGAAGGAGCAGCUCAGUGCUUACCCAUGGGGCGUCCCUUCAGAGGGAGCACGCAUUGCAGCUGUGAUAUGCACAGAGCUGGUGGCACUCACUGGAUGCUCCCAGAAGACAAACAGCAUUGGUCCAGAUCAAAUGCCUCCCACAAGAAGUUCGGACUUCUUUCUUAGAGAAGUAAGUGGCAAUCUUCCCCUUUUGAUUCUUCUUUUCUUUUUCUUAUGGUUUCUCUUGUAAAUACAGAGGCCAGAAGGCCAUGCUUAAAGAAUUCAUUUACAAACUUGCAAUAUUGUUUUGAACUAUAGCAAUUAAACAGAAAAUAAAAAAAUCAGUUCAGCAUCCUGUUUGGAUGUAAUUAAAGGUAUAAUCUGUUCUAUUUGAAUACUUCAAUGCUUACCCUUCUUAAAAAAACAAAUAAGAAUAGUAGCUCAUUUGCAGUGUUUUUUUCCAACCCAUCUAAAAAGACUAACUGAUGAAGCAAGAAUAAUAAUUUUUAAAUGUGGCAUAAGCACAGAAAUAUCAACUGCAGCUUUCAAAUUAUUGCUGCAGAUCCCGAGCCUGAUGAGAGCUCAAUAACAAGGGGUAUGAGCUUUAUGGCAAAACACUGAAGUCUUCCACUAUUUCCUAUCAGCAUCUUGAUAUGGCUGAUAUAAUUACCUAUCAAAUACAUCAGUGGAAUGAAUAUCAGAGGAUAUAAAAAAAUACGUAAGUCGGAUGCAUAUCAGCUCAGUCUUUUAGGGGCUGUUUGAUCUCAAGGUUUUUUUGUAAGAAUAAAAGACCAAUAUGGCAUUCAUUGCCCUUUGUUUUCUAUAAGCAGUGAUGAUUUUACAGCACAAUAAAAUUAGACUAUUAUUGGCUGGCUUAUGAGUUCUAGCUGGAUCUUUUUUCCUCCUACCGGACAUUUCUUCACUGCUUCUCAAAGAAAUUGAAGUCAGGUGUAAAGUUAAUAUCUGCCCUGUUCAUUUAUUCUUCUGUAAGUGAUCAAGAUUUCCCCAAAUCACAGGGCAAUCUCUUGCCUUCUGAGAAUGAAUAUAGGCCCUAUUCUCUCCAUUUAGUUUAACAAAACAACUGGCAGAAGUUCAAUGGAACCAAUGAUUAUUCUUAGAGGUUACGGCAAACCACUGACGUUGUUAGCAAAAGGCUCCGUGUAAGAUUCCCUAAGAGGAAAAGCGCAUGGAUAUUUCAAAAUGUAAUUAACAGUGAAUUCCAACAAUGUGAAAAAGAAGCAGUGGCUGUACCGGCAGCAGAGGAACUUGGCUGCAUGACAUGGGCACUUUGGUGGCCGCUGCUCCCUUAAAAGCAGCAAGGGACAGGGCCAGCAGUGACAGUGAUGGUGAGGAACAUCAGGACUGGCCCCAUCCAUGCACGUUCCUCGUGUGUUGCUGCCUUUGCUAUUGGACACAGUUAAAUAUAUAGAAGUGACCAAGCAUCCUAUGAAGCAAAACACUUUUUAUUAUUUUCUUAACCAUUAAGAAUAGUCAGAAUUUCAAACUCGGUCUUUUGUCAGCUGAGGCGAACUUCUAACAAGGCAGGCAGAAGACUUACACUGAUAAAUUGGCUGUCAGAACACAGGAGCAAAGGGUACAAAGUAGCGCAGUGCUCUUGGAGACCUGUUUAACCAGUCAAUAGGAGAGAAGUUUAAGCUCAAAGUUUUACAGGUUACUAAAAUUCCUGGCCUUUUGGGUGUGUGUGCCUUGCCCCUGCCCCCUUGCAUGGCCCGUCCUGCAGUGCUGGGGAUCCCAGGGCAACUUUCCUCCAGCCAGCCCAGCCUGGCACAGCCUCAGCCUUCCCUUCACUACAGUUCUGCUUUUCACACAGAAGCAAUGAGAAGCUCCAUUUAAUAAAAUAACAAUUAAAAAUGCAGCCCUCAUAGUGCAAGGCUGUGGCUCACCCUUUAGCAGCAGCCAGAGGCAGGCAGGGGCGGGGAAGCACCAUGUGACACCAAGACAGGCAAGGGCAAAACACGCAGCUAUGGCUUCCGAACCCAUCGAGCCGAACAUCCUCCCUGCACACCAAGAGUGUUUUUGUGGAUGUAACCAAAGGAAACACAACAACAGAACCUGGCUUGUCAAAAAAUACCCACAGAGGGGGAGAGAAAAAAUGAAAAUCCUCAACACAGCCUCGUCUGUCUCCAGCAAACAGGGCUUUUUUCAGGCCCUGGGCUCAGGCGUGGGCCCAAGCCCCUGCGGGUGGUGUUAUUGGCUGAUGGCCUUGCUGGCUGCACAGAGGCUGAAGCACGGUCCUCUCCCUGCCCUCAGCACUGGCCGCCCCACAGCCCUCAUGCCUCCCUGCUGCCACCCAGCCCAGCAGCCCCAUGGGUGGCACACGGCUGUGUGACCGGGCCAGCCCCCCCGAGGAACAUCUCUGAGACACCGCAAAACAAGCAACGCUUAUCUCAUGCAUGCCACAGGUGUGAUGUCAUCCCCUCUGGCGAAAGAACGAGGAUGUCUACAGCCUCCACUGUGCAAAAACACAGGAACUGAAGUUAAUGUGCCUCAGACUUUGUUAAAAUAUGGUGAUAAUUAAGAAAUAUAAUUACCACUACGAAGUUAAUGCCUCUCUGAGUUCUUACAAACAACUUUUUAAUUUGCACUGAGCAUUUACAUUGCAGAUGCACAGUCAGCUGGGUGCGGGGCCGGCAGUGCUGCAGUCCAUGUGCCAUGGCCCACCUGGAGGGCAGGCGUGCAGGGGAGCCGUGUCAGACACACACUGCGUUCUAUUAAGGAAAAAAAAAAGAAAGGAAAAAACUUACGAGGUAAUUGAUUGCUUUCUUCUAGUCUUUUAUUAGUCGUGAUUAAGGAGCUACAGUAGCCCUGUUUACACAUCUCCAACAAGUCAGGACCUGCAGCACGUUAUUGGCUUGCAGCCCACAACGCACAGUCCGUUCUCAGCAGCAGUGAUCUGAAGUGGAACGGCCCUGCAGGAAGCGCGCAUCCCUGCUCACACGGGGCAGGAGCAGCAGUAACGCUGCAGGCCCAGGGCUCAGCCCUGACUUGCCACUGCCCUGGGCACGCUCUGCGAGCAGGACACGGGGCCCGGGCAGGGACACAGCGAGCUCAAUGCUGCUCUCAGCUCAUGGACCGAACCGAGAGCUCCUCGCUGCUUAACAUGCAGGCAAAGCACUGCCAAUCUAAAAUGGCUGAUCAGUAAUACUUUAAUUGCAGUUUCAUAGAAACAAAUUGCUAUUUAAUUGCAAUGAGCUCUUCUGUGGCUUCGCUGGACUGACAACAGGCAUACACCUGGUACUGAAAAGCAACAAAGGCUCCCUGGUACUUCACGUACCGCAGGCACAGGAAGUGAAACCGGUCCUGGAACACGUCUCACACUGAAGAAACACAAUACUCUGAAGGUAUUUGACAUAUGUGUCCUGAUCUCAAUUUCAAUUAUUUCAACGGAGCUGUUCAGAACACAGGUAACUUGCACAAGGCCUGACAUCUGAUACCGGCCAAAGGAUUUGGUAAAAAAAAUAAAAUUAAAUGAUCUUUUGAAAUGCUUGGUAGCAACUCAUACUACAGUAGUAUCUGAUUUAUUUUAUUUUAUUUAUUGUAUUUCUCCUAGAAUUAGAUGAUGCAAAUUUUAUCAGUGUUAACUAACGGGGAGAAAGGGAGACAAACUCAGUGUGGUUAAUAUUCCAAAGAUGUGACUUAAUUUCAUAGGCUUCAUUCUGGUAAGACAUUCUCAUUUUACAUUUCGUAAGAUACUGCAUAACCUGUUAAAAUAUUUAAAGAUAAAUCAUGUAGGACUGAAAAGACAGUAUCUUGUUGCAAACAGAAUUUGGUUUGGAAAGGCUUAAUGUCCCACUGCCUGCCAGGAUGCGUAAAUCUCGUAACUAGACAGCUGGAUAGGUAAAAACAUUAAACCCAUUUAGAGGGCAAUCUUUUUACAAAAUUGUUUCAUUAAUAAGAGUGACAAUUUAUAUGAUUGAGACGCUUAGAUGCAGUACAGACAGAGCCUUUUAUCCAGGUUCACUAGGAUGAUUUCAGAUUAGUAAUAUUUCCUUUGAUUUUUUUAACAGCAUUCAUUUUUGAAAGUGAGGGAAGCUCUUACUGAUUAUUUGUAUGACUUUUCAGCAGCACUAAAUGCAAGGAGUGUAUUUCAGACUCAGCGUAGCAAAUGCAUGUGAUAAAAGGUGAACAAGUACAUGUUUCCUUUUACAGAUCUCCUAAAAAAAUUGAUUUUUCACAUAAGGACAAAUCUAAGUGUUUCCAGUAGCCUUCCCCCCAGCGUCCCCAUUAGAGCCUGUUUUAUUGUCUGAAAUGCCUCUGGUUUCAAGAAAGUGUUUUACCUAAAGGAAGAAUACUACUUAAAUAUGUUCUAUUGUAUAUUCAUAGCUCCAUUAGUCCUCCUCCAAUUUAGCACAUCAAAGCAAAGGCUUCAUCACUUGCAUGUGGAUUAUGCUAACAUGAGUGACAUUUGUAAUCUUAUAGGUCUGCAACUUAAGAAAUGCUUUUAAAGUAAGCUAUUAAAAAGGUAGCUGCGCUUUACAAACGAGUCAUAUAAUAGUUUAUUUAAAGCUGUUAAUGAACUUCAACCUCUACAUCACUAAAUGCUAUACUACAUUACUUACUAGAAGUUAUUAGGUAUCUUCUUAGCACUUCUAGGUUACAUUGGACAACCGAAAAUCUGUACGUUAGAUUUAACCGUGGUACCUUGAGUGCUUAUACUGGAAUAAUAUAAAAGAUGCCUACAGACUCACUAAUACUUGAAUUUCACAUUUGUAUGAUUUUGAGUGUCUUUUCAAAGACAUUCCAGCCACACAAUUUGCAAGACUCUUACCUAAAGACUGUAAUGCAAGAUCAAAAAGCUUAGAAACUUAUUUUUAAAAAUACAUAAGUGCAUUUAAUUUAAAAAGUCAUACAUAGCUUCAGUAGUUUUAUCACUUUAUAUGAUAUGUAAGUAUUCUGUUAUCUUUACUGUCCGUCACCGUACGUUAUAUCUUUUUCUUUUCUCUUCAACAGUCCUAUUUUUGCCCAGGCAAUGAAGUGCUAAAGGAAGAAAUCCAAGAGACCUCACCACAGUAGGCCAAGAAAUAGAAUCUGAAACAAAAUAUAUCUGCUUCUGGUUGUUUAUACAGACAAAUCUGCUUCUUAUACACCAGCGUAACAACAAAAGUAAGUGAAGCUCACUCCAUAACCAAACAAGCUACACCUUCUUGAAAACAGAAUUUAAAAAGAAAACAUAAUCACACUGUAUUUCAAAUGCAUUAUUCUCCAAUAAAAGUCAAACAGCUGGUAAUGCUGAUUUGCUAUGAGUUGCAGCAGAGGCACCUUCUGGGUGCCCACAGUUCCCUGACUGAGGGCAUACAGUGCAUCAUAGAUUCAUGUCACUGUUCUUGCUAUAAAUAUGAAAAAUGAGGAUUUUUUUCUCAGAGUUGAUCUGCACAGACCUGAAGGCCCACUGAACAAAGUUGCCCUCUUUCUAAGCUUAGAGAAAGUUGUCUUACUUUGGAGGGCGUUUUUUUUUCUUUGUUUCUGUCCUUCCAGAGAGCAGACCAUAACUGCCAUCAGUUUGUUCUUGGAAGUAACCCAGGAAGCUGAUUUUUCUUUCCUUAAGAUUAUCAGUUUUGAAAGUUUCUUGCACAGCAAAGUCAAGUUUAUUUUGUUCAGAUCAGAACAGCUACUGUAUUCCUCUUCAUGAAUGCUCAAUUCACGUGCUCCGCAUGAGGUACGCACCUUCUGUUGCUUUUAUAUUUAUUAUUAUUUCCGGAUCUCUUGAAGUGUGCUCAUACACACUCAUGCUUUCACACUCACACACACACACACCUCUAACACAGGCAGUUCUGCAGGAAGGAGCCAGAUAGAAAGAGACCACAAUACCUAUAAUGUGUACCACACUUCACUGCAAUCUAAACUGUCAUGUAUUUGCUGUUAUUAGAAGCAAGAAUCUCAAUGAAAAACUAAAGAUCAUUUUGAAGCAGCGCCUCCCUGUAUCCACACCAAAAUCAACACAGUAAUUUAAUAGGUUCUUUAGAGGCGUAAGACAAAACAAAAAGAGAACCCACCAAAAACCUCCAAACCAAAACCUUAUUUUUAAAGGACACUGGCAAUUAAGGUAAUGACUUUGUU